GGCGAACGGGUGAGUAACGCGUAAGAACCUGCCCUUGGGAGGGGAACAACAACUGGAAACGGUUGCUAAUACCCCGUAGGCUGAGGAGCAAAAGGAGAAAUCCGCCCAAGGAGGGGCUCGCGUCUGAUUAGCUAGUUGGUGAGGCAAUAGCUUACCAAGGCGAUGAUCAGUAGCUGGUCCGAGAGGAUGAUCAGCCACACUGGGACUGAGACACGGCCCAGACUCCUACGGGAGGCAGCAGUGGGGAAUUUUCCGCAAUGGGCGAAAGCCUGACGGAGCAAUGCCGCGUGGAGGUGGAAGGCCUACGGGUCGUCAACUUCUUUUCUCGGAGAAGAAACAAUGACGGUAUCUGAGGAAUAAGCAUCGGCUAACUCUGUGCCAGCAGCCGCGGUAAU
rnacentral:rRNA from 1 species